rnacentral:rRNA from 1 species
AUACGUAGGUGGCAAGCGUUGUCCGGAAUUAUUGGGCGUAAAGCGCGCGCAGGCGGUCCUUUAAGUCUGAUGUGAAAGCCCACGGCUCAACCGUGGAGGGUCAUUGGAAACUGGGGGACUUGAGUGCGGAAGAGGAAAGUGGAAUUCCAAGUGUAGCGGUGAAAUGCGUAGAGAUUUGGAGGAACACCAGUGGCGAAGGCGACUUUCUGGUCUGUAACUGACGCUGAGGCGCGAAAGCGUGGGGAGCAAACAGGAUUAGAUACCCUGGUAGUCCACGCCGUAAACGAUGAGUGCUAAGUGUUAGGGGGUUUCCGCCCCUUAGUGCUGCAGCUAACGCAUUAAGCACUCCGCCUGGGGAGUACGGUCGCAAGACUGAAACUCAAAUGAAUUGACGGGG